rnacentral:tRNA from 1 species
GCGCCCUUAGCUCAAUCGGCAGAGCAUUCGGCUUUUAACCGAAGGGUUCUGGGUUCGACCCCCAGAGGGCGCAC